GGUCGUAAAACUCUGUUGUUAGGGAAAAACAAGUGCUAAUUGAAUAAGCUGGCACCUUGACGGUACCUAACCAAAAAGCCACGGCUAACUACGUGCCAGCACCCGCGGUAAUACGUAGGUGGCAAGCGUUAUCCGAAAUUAUUGGGCGUAAAGCGCGCGCAGGUGGUUUCUUAAGUCUGAUGUGAAAGCCCACGGCUCACCCGUGGAGGGUCAUUGGAAACUGGGAGACUUGAGUGCAGAAGAGGAAAGUGAAAUUCCAUGUGUAGCGGUGAAAUGCGUAGAGAUAUGGAGGAACACCA
rnacentral:rRNA from 1 species